UACAGAGGGUGCGAGCGUUGUUCGGAAUUACUGGGCGUAAAGCGUGUGUAGGCGGCUAUGUAAGUCGGAUGUGAAAGCCCCAGGCUCAACCUGGGAAGUGCACUCGAUACUGCGUAGCUUGAGUAUCGGAGAGGUUGGUGGAAUUCUCGGUGUAGAGGUGAAAUUCGUAGAUAUCGAGAGGAACACCGGUGGCGAAGGCGGCCAACUGGACGAAUACUGACGCUGAGACACGAAAGCGUGGGGAGCAAACAGG
rnacentral:rRNA from 1 species